GGGAGUUCCUUUUAAAGCAGAAAUACGUCAUGUACAGAGUCACAGUUAAACAUACAAUAUACAUUCAACAAUUGGUUAACAGUCUAAGGGGUCUUGUCUAAACCCCCCCUACAGGAUGUAGUGUCGUCAUUACAGACUUUUCCCACCUAUAUUGGAUACACGAUGGGAGGGGGAGGGAGUAGUUUCUUUAACAGUGAUUCUCUAUUUUGUUAGCUGUUACUUUGCACAAAGGAAGUGGGGGAGGAGUUAGUAAAGGAAGCUGUUAACACAGGAAUUUUGGUUACAGGAAGCUUGCUCUGAUGGGAAGGGGGAUGCUAGCAGGAUGCGAGGAAUUUACAGAGAUAAAAUAGUGCCUGAACACAUUGUAGGGGGGGAGGGAAUAUUUACUCUAGCAGCCAGUUUUAACAUAGUGAACACAGAAUAAAUAGACAUUAGUAAAUAGCCAUUUUAUUUUAAUUCAUCUGUCCAUAACACUAUGACCACUUCAGUGAUUUGUUGCUACUCUUCUGGUAGUGGCUAAGUAAAAUAAGUGCUGAGUGAGAGUUCCUUCUCAAAAUUGAACUCACACUGAUUAAUAACACUUAAACCCCCAUGGUUUCCAUUACAGUGCAUUGAAUUUCAGGCUGAUUGUAAUAGUUUAUGCAGUCGAAUUCUACCUUGUAUUAUAAUUCAAGCUGAUUGAACAUUGACCCCACAUACAUUGUGACUGAUGUGUAAAGGAUAAUUACCAGUUAACUAGGAUGUGUUUAACUUUUAACUUUUUAAGUCCAUUAUGCAGGUCAAAAUGAAAUAAAGAUGAUGGGAAUGGAUAGAACCUCUUUCUGCAGUAUUCAAGGGCACUUGAUAAAAAGAUUGUAUGACAAAUGUGUAAUUGCUGAAUUGCAGUAUCCGAUUUGGCAUGUUCACAUUUAAUAUGUUUGUAUUUCUUGAGGAAUCACUUCCAUCAGCACUUGUAGUUUUACAGUCAAGUAAU